rnacentral:rRNA from 1 species
AGACCCGAAACCCGGUGAUCUAGCCAUGGGCAGGUUGAAGGUUGGGUAACACUAACUGGAGGACCGAACCGACUAAUGUUGAAAAAUUAGCGGAUGACCUGUGGCUGGGGGUGAAAGGCCAAUCAAACCGGGAGAUAGCUGGUUCUCCCCGAAAGCUAUUUAGGUAGCGCCUCGUGAAUUCAUCUCCGGGGGUAGAGCACUGUUUCGGCUAGGGGGCCAUCCCGGCUUACCAACCCGAUGCAAACUGCGAAUACCGGAGAAUGUUAUCACGGGAGACACACGGCGGGUGCUAACGUCCGUCGUGAAGAGGGAAACAACCCAGACCGCCAGCUAAGGUCCCAAAGUCAUGGUUAAGUGGGAAACGAUGUGGGAAGGCCCAGACAGCCAGGAUGUUGGCUUAGAAGCAGCCAUCAUUUAAAGAAAGCGUAAUAGCUCACUGGUCGAGUCGGCCUGCGCGGAAGAUGUAACGGGGCUAAACCAUGCACCGAAGCUGCGGCAGCGAACGUAUCACCCAAGACAACUUUGCGGAGUUGACGAUUGACGGAGCGAAGCGACGUCAAAGCGUUCAUUAAAGUCGAGUUGGCUUAGGGAUACGUUCGUUGGGUAGGGGAGCGUUCUGUAAGCCUGUGAAGGUGGCCUGUGAGGGUUGCUGGAGGUAUCAGAAGUGCGAAUGCUGACAUAAGUAACGAUAAAGCGGGUGAAAAGCCCGCUCGCCGGAAGACCAAGGGUUCCUGUCCAACGUUAAUCGGGGCAGGGUGAGUCGACCCCUAAGGCGAGGCCGAAAGGCGUAGUCGAUGGGAAACGGGUUAAUAUUCCCGUACUUGGUGUUACUGCGAAGGGGGGACGGAGAAGGCUAUGUUGGCCGGGCGACGGUUGUCCCGGUUUAA